UAGAUAGAGUGAUCACUAAGGAUUAGGGACCUCAUGACUACGUAUAAUCAAGGCAAUCCAAGGGUAUCAGAACGUUCUUCAUGUAUUUCACAUGGCUCACCAGUUUAAAUUUUUUGAAAUUCCCUCCCCUGAGCUUGGCUUACGUCCGCCGCGCUAGGGUUGCCUUUGCCGGCAGCGGAGACCUAACACUCGAACAACCCACAUCAUCUCCUUCACCUUUCUUCCCUGAUUCCAAAUAGCACUAUAGAAUAGCCCGAAUGAUGCUCCAAAAUCCGAAUCGAAACGAAGUACCAAAGAACCCUAAGAUUUAUAUUCACAAUUAAAUUCUCCUAUUAUGGAAUAAAAGUCCUAGAGGUUAGGACUUUGAUUCCCCUAAACCUCCUUUACAUCAGGGUAACAAACAUGAAGCGAAAUGUUGAAAAAAGAUGAAGCAAAUCACGAGAGCAAACGUCGGAUUUCAGGUAAAGUGUUUUGAAACCUUUGAAUAUUUUCCUUCUCUUUGGUUCUUCUUAUUCUUAUUCCAAGGAAAUUCUUCUGUGAGCGAAUCAGAGAGAAGCUAAAAAGUGAAUUGAGACUGAAGAGGGAGUCUAGCUCGCGCAUGUUAAAGCUUCGAUAUGAAGCUUUAAUGGUUGUUGAAGAUGAUCUUUGAGUGAGGGUAGUGGAGAGAGAUUGUAGAGGUUCUGAGAGCAAAAUGUGUGUGUGUAAGUGUGUGUCUGAAGUGAUGGAAUGAGGGUGAAUAUGAGGCUAUAUAGGGAAGAGGUUCGGAUAAAAUGGUGGAUUCGAGUGAGGUUAGGAGUUAGUUAGGAGUGACUCACUGAGUUAACUGUAAAAUCAGUUAGUUACAUGCCUUGAACUCAGUGGAAAAAUUGGUUAAGUUAGUUAUGUAUUAGUAAAGUUUGAUUAGUUCAGUUCAGUGGAUGAUUGUUAAUUGUGAAUGUAAUGCUCAGUUAGAUGUUAAGUGAAUUAAAUGCAAAAAUCGAUUCAGUUAAAUGUUAGGCAUCUGGUGAAAUUUGAAUUUCUUGUUAACCAUUUAGUUACCAGGUCAGAUUCUAUCAUGGUUGAUGUUGAACCUGAAGGUGAAUCAUUAAACCUACACCCCUUAAAACCUCCCUGAUCAGUUUAACCAUUUUGCAUGUGAUGGUAAAUGGGACCAAGCUGCAUUCAGGUACCCCUGCAGUAGAAAAAGAAGGUCACUUCAUGAGAUACCUCUACUGAAAGCAAAUGGGUAAGCCUUGAAGGCAAUGGUCAUUCUACAGUUGCACCCUUUCACAUCAUCAAUCAGCAGCAGGUGGUGAAGCAAGGAGUUCUUACAAACUUUGAUUGAGAUUGAAUUUUGACCUUGAUGUAGGCAUGGUGGGCAAGAUUGCAAGUUGUCAUGCAAGGCAAGAAAAACAAGUUCAAGGCAUGAUGACCAAUUUGGCAAAACUUGAUCAACGGAGGAAGUGUGGCCAUGGAAUAUCUAGAAAUGAUGCAAUGAUGAAGAUGUGAUUAGUAUUAAGUUUUUAGGAUGAAAAGUGUGAUGGUUACUUUGGUCAACUGGUUGACCAAAAAGUUUAUAGUUGACCAAAAGUCAACUUUUGUGAAAAAUGAAAUUUUUUAUAUUUCUUUUGUAAUGAACAUUGUAUAUGUUAAUGAAUGAAUGAAUGGCCAAUUGUGUGAA